rnacentral:lncRNA from 1 species
CUUUCUGCCCAUGCGCACGUGUGUGGAGCCGGGCGCUGGACUAUGACGUCACGCGUCCCCACGUCUAUAUUUCAGCAAUGGGCGGGGCUCCAAGUGUCCACGCUCUGAGGAGAGUUGGCGACAGGUCCUAGGCCGUGAGUUAACACUGGGGAUUUGGACCCAGGACUUUGUCCUGUGUGACAGCCAAGCACUCUACUACUGAGCUACACUCCCUGCCCAACCUCAAGUACUUCGUUAAUGUCUUCAGAAGCUUCCUGCUAUUUGGCUUCUGAUGCUCACACUUAAAGGAUGAAGUGCUAUCCUAAAGCAGAAAACAGCAAGAACAACAGCAAAACAACCAAAGACUCACCCAGUUCAGCCCCUUACCACCUGCAGGGGUAUGUGCAGAGGGAAGGCUGAUGCAUUCAGCCCAGUCUGCUAAGUGGCCGCACUCACAGUGAAAAGGAGGAUGACAGGGACUCAGAAGGGAGCUGCAGUAUCGCUUAUGUCCACCAGAUGAUGCCACCAUUCAGUGGAAUUCCAGAUUCUGGCUUGGGGACGCAAGCAUGACUGUGGCCAAGUUUGAGAUUGGCCUGCUUUGGAAUAUCAAAUACCUCCUCUUUGGAGGGGAAGGAAGAUGAAAGCAAUGACAUCCACACUCCCCCAGAGCAUCUCCCCAGCACAGCCUGAGCUCUUGCAAUGGGGUUUUGUCGGGAGAGCUCAUCACCUGGAGUGGUCAGGAGGGCUCAGUCACUGUGCGGUCACUGGGGGAGAAGACCUCGUGGCUUCAGCCUAGCCUGCUGAGGAAGCUCUUGGAGUCAGGGUGUCAGAGGGCUGAGACCCCACAGGAAGUGCAGAGCCGGAUGGGAAGGAGAGGUGACCACAUCCUGCAUUUCUCUGUGGUUCCCCCAGGAACCAGUAACACAGCCUGGAGGCUCAGCAGAGGAAAACCAAGAAGCCAAAUGAAAACCACAAUGAAAUACUCCUUCAUAUCCGCCAGCAUUGCUAUCAUGAAAAGAAAGAUAAUAACAAGUGCUGGUGAAGAUGUGGGGAAAUAGGAGCCCUCAGGCACUGUUGGUGGAUAGCUGCUUUGCACAGUAAUCUAGCAUUCCCAAAAGGUUAAAUAGAGACUUGUCUUUCAACACAGCAAUUCCACUUUUAGGUGCAUACCCAAAAGAAAUGGAAAUUUUGGUCCACAUGAAAACCUGUCCCUUAAUGUUUGGAGCAGCAUUAGGCAUAAUGACCAAAAAAUGAAAAGUACCCAACAGUUCUGCUGUUAAGAUUGAGAAGUUUUUGUGGUGUCUGAA